rfam:Salmo salar isolate Sally breed double haploid chromosome ssa02, whole genome shotgun sequence.
UAGCUCAGUUGGUAGAGCAUGGUGUUUGCAAUGACAGGGUUGUGGGUUCGAUUCCCAC